rfam:Triticum aestivum genome assembly, contig: Triticum_aestivum_CS42_TGACv1_scaffold_049553_1BS
GAUAUAUUCCUUCCGUCCCAAAAUUCUUGUCUUAGAUUAGUCUAGAUACAAAUGUAUCUAAUAGUAAAAUGUGACUUGAUACAUCCGUAUUUAGACAAAUCUAAGACAAGAAUUUUGGGACGGAGGGAGUAUGAA